GCCCACUGAUAACGGCCUUUUUUAUUUUCCAAUUUAACGGAGACAAGAUGAGAGACUGUUUCUAAUCUGGCCCUGUCAUAAAAAUAAAUGGGGGACCAGAUCCGGCAUUAAUUCCGGAGAGCCGGGAUGGCGGCGCGCGUGAAGCACCGAGCCAGUCGACCGGGAAGAGAAAGACAUUCCGCACGAAAUGAGACAAACACGCCGGCCGACCUGAGCCGGGUCGCUCCCCAGCGCUCUGAGGCGGCCGUUAACACCAUGAGUUCCACCGCUCAGACGAGUCCUCCACAGGACAGGAGGCCAAGCAGGUAACCAGCGUCAUCCUCGCCUGACUGCUGUUUGAGUGACAGUUUGAUCAAGGCGGAGUCCAGGUGUGUCCAGUGGUGUGACGAGAAGCAGCUGGCAACACCGUGUGUUUCGGAGGAGAACUGCGGCUGUCUACACCUGAGUCGGCUGUGGGAUUUGCCAGGACCUGUCAGUAUCUGUCUGAAUUUGAACUUGAAUUCAAUCAGGACCUGUCUGAAUUUGAACUUGAAUUCAAUCAGGACUUGUCUGUAUCUGAACCUAUUAAUCUAUAAACCGAGAGUUUCUCGCUUUGCAGGAAGACGGGAUGAUUGCUGUCGCAAGACCAAAAAAAUUUUGCGUUUCUAAAAUGUUCCUGAAAAGGCUGUUGACUUAUCAGCAGCCAGGUGAAGGAUUCAUGAAUGAAAUAACAAGGUGUUUCUAUAUUUGAAGAGGCACCCAAUCAAAUGAGCCUGGAGGAGAGAGGAAGAGCGAGGAGUCCAACAGGAGAACAAUGAAGAUUUAAUCCGCUGUCUCUGCCUCUCAGCGAUGGAGAAAAAGUAAAAGCUCCUUUCAGGGCUGUCCUGGAGAAUAAGGGCGGCACACUCGACCCACUCAUAAACAGCUCCAUCACACGCACUGCAUCUUUCAUGUUUCAUAUGUUUAUGUUCAUAUGUGGAGGAAAUGGACUGCUCCCAAGGCACGGAAUCCUGGGACAGUGGAGGACUCGACAGACGACUGCGAGCUCCAUCAGCAUUUCUGUUUGUGCGCAAAUAUGAGAGAUAAAACAGAAGAGACAUCUGGACCUCACAAUGAUCCUGUUCGGCUGCAGUCUGGUGAAUCUUCAGGGGUCAGGGGAUGGGCAGCUAUGGAAACCAGUCUCCAUGACCACCAAUUAGAAACAAGAAGGAAUAAACAUGUCUUUACGUAGCUUCAGCAUUUUAAAAAUGAAGUGCAAAGAUAUUAGAAAUAAACAGAAAAAAGAUACAAAAUUUUAAAGACCUGUUAAAUCAAAUGGGAUUCUAUAGAAACCAACCUACUCCCAAACAAAAUACAGAAUUGUGGUAGAGACAGAAAAAAAUUAAAUCUCUGUCUUUGCCAGUUCUGUCGUCAUAAACUUUCACCGAAUAUAGAGUUGUGAAUGUUCUGAAUAUUAGAAAAGAUACAUCAGCUAUGAGAACCCGCUACGAAAGGCUGAUUUUGAGGUUAAAACAAAGGCCAGAAUUUUACCCAUUGAACUAGGAUAGGCCCGAAUGACCCACCCAUUUAGAACUGCAGUGUAGCGUGAUGACUAAAGAACUGUGCUUGAAACUGGAGUUGCGGGUUUGAUUCCCAGUUGGAACACCACCGCCGUACCCUGGAGCAAGGUGCUUAACCUGAAGUACUUUGGUAAAUAUCCAGCUGUAUAAAAUGGGUUGUGUGUAAAGAAUUUAAGCUGUCUAAGUCGCUCUGGAUAAGAGUGUCUGAUAGAUGUCUGACAGAUGCCUGAAUGUAAAUGUCAAUGCAGUGUGUGUACAGGAACAGGCAAUUUCUUACUAAACAGGAACUUCUUCCAAAUGAACACAGGAAGUGCUGUCAUCAGCGGCUGUCUUUUUUUCUCAAUGGCUUCAUUUGUCUCUUAGCAGAGUAAAUAUCUGCCAAAUGUGAUGUGAGUUUAAGAGUUGUUGCUUUUUUAAUAUAAAAUUGUAAAAAUUGAAUAUAUGCUAUUGGGGAGAUGACAAUAAAUCUAAUGUGCAUGAGAGAACAUUGAGAGAGUUCAAAACAGUCAAAAGAAGGUCUAACGGGACAUGCCACAGUGGAUCAUACUGAGCAGUAUUUUUAUCUUGUUUUUUCAU